CAGCCCUCUCAUCUUGUAGGUGAGGAAACCGAAGGCCUGAGGGAGAAAUGACUUGCCAGGAACCCCUGUUAAGGAAAAUUAACAAAGUGUGGUUAUUAAAGAAGAACUGAGUUGGGAGUCAGACCUGGAGGCCCGCACCCGUGGUUAAGACAUUAUACCACCUUGAGUCUGGCCUGUUGACUGAGGAUACAACAGAGAAAUGCAUAAUGUCCAGUCAAUUUAUUAAAGUUCCAAAGUCGGUCGCGCGCAGUGGCUCACGCCUGUAAUCUCAACACUUCGGGAGGCCGAGGCGUGUGGAUCACGAGAUUUCAAUAUGAUUAAAGUAUGUUUCCAGUCUCAAUAGAAAUCGAUGCCAAUCCAGAAAUACAAGCAUUAUUCUAAUACUUCUCACACAUUACUGCAGGAGUGAGGACACAGCGAAAGUGAGACAAGGAAAAGAGAACAAAAUAAAACAGGAAAGACAGAAAAGCCAAUACCACACGUGUUAAGAGUUUCAAGGAAAAUAUGUUGGGAGUUCCUGGCAUAGAGAAUGUCACAAAGACAUGUUUUCAAUAGUAGUGCUAUCCCGAGGGCAGAGAAGACCCAGAGAAAGCCCAAGUGGCUGCUGGAACAAAAUCAGACACCGUGCCACCUGUCCACACUCCUUGGCUCUGCCAUCAUGCUGAAGAUCGCUUUAAAGGACUGGCUUCCCUCCCCCCAAAAUUAAAAGAGCACAGACUGAGAAACUGAAUGUGGGAGACAGCAGUGGAUUAUGCUGUUCUCAGGGGUCACCUCAGGUUUGGAAGCAUUCUUUCAAAUUAACCCAUCUCAGGCCAUCUGCAGAGAAGAAAGGUGGUACCUAACUUUUUUUCUUGUCGGCAUUUGGUAGGGGUGUUUUAUUGACCAAAUAUGUUCCCACAACCUAGUUUUUUGUGACUAACUAAAUAUAGUAGAGUUUUAAAUUUUAUCAUCAAAAUCUAUAGACAAUUUUUGAUGAAAAUAGACUCCAUCUCUAUGUCCUGCUUUUCUUCUUCUUAUUAAUUACAUUGCUGUAUAAAAGAACAAGACUUCAGCAUCAAGAAUAUCUUGUCUCUUGGCAUUGAAUUUAUACAAGGUGCUCUUUCUUUAAUGCUGUCUCAAAGGACAUAUUUUUACUCAUUAAAAAGGAAGAUCGGAAUCUAGUUGUAUGCACUGCUCCAACAUAUUAAUAAUUAAAAUUAGGAGGUAAAUGUGGUCAAAGCUAUAGAAAGACUGAGAUGUCAUUUAUAUGGAUUACUCUAUAGCACUCUACAAACAGAAAUUGUUAAAUAAUAGUUUAUAUAAAUAUUUUGUAGCAUUUCAAAUAUUUGAGUGCUUGAAGUUUCUCCUCUUCUAUAGUUCAGAUUAUCAAUUUGAAGACUUACUCCGCUAGUUAAUAUGUUUUUAGUCUCGUUUGAGUAUUAUAUAAAAGCAAUUUUCAGUUAAAUGUGUUCCGCUUACAUAAAACGUUACAAAUUAUUGAGGAUUUAAUUACUUAUUCAUGUUCCUGUAAUGUCUUUAGAAGAUUUUCUUAUUAUUACCUAUCAAUAUAUGUAUGCUUUGUCAAAGAAAAAUCAAACAUAUAUAUCAUUGAAAUUGAAACUUUUUAAAAGUACUUAUUAAUUCUAUUGAAAAACCACAUCCAUAGGAACAAUUACAAUAUAAUAUUGUGAACAUGUAAACAUAUACCCUAUGUCUAUUUUAUGUAUAAGCAUGUAUGAUUAAAAAUAUAGUGAAGAAUUUUUAAACCUAGUAUUAUAAAGUAAAAAUUAGUUAACUUCUGAUGAUUAUUUGUUAAUUAAGAUAAAAUUAUUUUGAUUUGGGUGAUUUUAAAUAAAGAAAAAUAUUAAAUUACAUGACAAAAAUUCUUUAUAAAAUGUUUAUGAUUUUUACAUUGGUUUUAUCACUUUUCCCACUAUUUUAUUUUAAGAUGACCUGCCUUGUUUAAAACACUGUAUUCAUCUUAGUUAAAUUAGAUUCCAUUUGUAAAAUAAUUAACAAAUGAUUUGCUCUAUUGUACAGUGCGGUUAUAAACUGAGUCAGUAUCUCAAGAUUUGAUCCCCAUUAUCAUCAUCUGUGGCCCUAUUUGUUUUAUAAAUGUAUUGUCUUUUUCCAUGCCUGUCACAUCUCUAUUGCUCUUUCAUUUUUCUCUUUGUCCCUUAUAGGGAGCAUUGCCUAUCUCUAGAUUAAGCAAAAGUUGCAUCAUAAAAAAGCACAAUAACCUGCUCAAUCUUUCUCACACAGAGAAAUGUUUGUUAAGUAAUUAAAGUGUAGAUGAUGAUACAAAGAGCUUGAUUAAAUUAGAUGCCAAAGUACCCUUGUGAUUCAGAAUAUGAAUGGUAUUUAAUUUCUUUGAAAUCAUUAAUUGCUGAGUGAGAUUAAUUAAUGCCAAUAUUCCAGAAGAUGUUCUACUUAGUGAAAUGUAUACAACGAAAAGCACAAUAACCUGCUCAAUCUUUCUCACACAAAGAAAUGUUUGUUAAGUAAUUAAACUGUAGAUGAUGAUACAAAGAGCUUGAUUAAAUUAGGUGCCAAAGUACCCUUGUGAUUCAGAAUAUGAAUGGUAUUUAAUUUCUUUGAAAUCAUUAAUUGCUGAGUGAGAUUAAUUAAUGCCAAUAUUCCAGAAGAUGUUCCAGUCAGUGAAAUGUAUACAACGUGCAAAAGAUUCAGAACUCUGAAGGGCAACAUUAUUCUAUAAUUAAGAAUUAAGAAUGAAUUCGCAUUAAUUACUGGGGAGAAAUACUUUUUAAGAAUUAAUGACUGAGAAAAUGUUUUUAUUUUUUAUUUAGAAAAUUAUUUUGUGCAUGAGCAUUACCGCAAGUUUUGCAAGAAACAUAAAUUUAAAGAAACAAUUAUGUGCACAAGAUGAAUUUAAUAACAUCUUGAUAUAUUCCACGAUUGCGGUUUUAUUUGGUAAAUCUUUCAAGGCACACCAUUUAAAGAGAAUAAAUGAGUCUUGGAAAUCUUGUAGGUAAGGGUAAAUAUUAGGAUGCAUCCAGUUACAUUUACACACACAUACAGUUACAUUUACACACACAUACACGCAUACAGACUGAGUCACGUGUGUGUAUAUAUAUAUAUGAAUUUACCAAUUGAUGUUAACUAAUAUUUAUAAGAGCCAGUUGGAUUGAUAUAUAUUGUUGAACCUGAAAAAUAUUUAUUAUAUACAUGUUUAAAAUACACACAGAAAUAAAUAGCAAUUGCACUAGGCAUUUGAAACUGUACUAAAAUAUAAGCUGUGAACAUUUUGUGAUCAUUACAAAUUCUUACACUGAAUAAAUAUUUUUAUUUUUACAAUAUUAAUAUGUUUGAUACCUGUGUAUAUUUUUUUACAAUGUGUUAUUUUAUUUUUGUCAUAGAGUCAUGUCAUGCAUAAUAACAUUUUAGUCAAAGAUGGAUUACAUAUACAAAAG
rnacentral:lncRNA from 1 species